rnacentral:ncRNA from 1 species
AUGUAAAUUUUUGUAUGAAUUUUUAUUUAUUUUAAUAAUAAAUAUAUUUAUUUUAGUCGCAGUAAUUAAUAUUAUUUAUUAAAGAAAUUUAGAUAUAGUGAUAUUAUUUAGUAUUGGCAAAAUUUGUGCCAGCAGUCGCGGUUAUACAAAUAAUACGAAUAAAUUUUUUUCAGUAAGAGUUAAAUUUUAAGUUAAAAAUGUGAAUAUAAAUUUUUAAGGUGAAAUUUUAAAUUUAUAAAUUUUUAUUUUAUUUUUGUUGAAGCUCAAAAAUUUUAUUAAUAAACUAGGAUUAGAUACCCUAUUAUUUAAAAUGUAAUUGUUUUACUAGAGUAGUAGUAGUUAUGUUCUUGAAACUAAAAAAAUUUGGCGGUAUUUUAGUCUAUUCAGAGGAAUCUGUUCUAUAAUCGAUAAUCCACGAUGGACCUUUCUUAAAUUUGUUUUUCAGUUUAUAUACCGUCGUUAUUAGAAUAUUUUAUAAAAAUAAUAAUUUUCAAUAAUUUUUACAAAAAUUUAUAUCAGAUCAAGGUGUAGCUUAUAUUUAAGUAGAAAUGGAUUACAAUAAAAUUAUUUAAAUGGAUAUAAUAAUGAAAAAGUUAUUGAAAGUGGAUUUGAUAGUAAAAUUAUAGAGAUUAAUAAUUUAAUUUUAGCUCUAAAAUAUGUACACAUCGCCCGUCGCUCUUAUUUUAAGGUAAGAUAAGUCGUAACAUAGUAGAUGUACUGGAAAGUGUAUCUAGAAUG